rnacentral:rRNA from 1 species
UACGGGGGGGAGCAAGCGUUGUUCGGAUUUACUGGGCGUAAAGGGCGCGUAGGCGGCGCAACAAGUCACUUGUGAAAUCUCCGGGCUUAACCCGGAGCGGUCAAGUGAUACUGUCGUGCUAGAGUGCGGAAGGGGCUACUGGAAUUCCCAGUGUAGCGGUGAAAUGCGUAGAUAUUGGGAAGAACACCUGAGGCGAAGGCGGGUUGCUGGGCCGACACUGACGCUGAGGCGCGAAAGCGUGGGGAGCGAACAGG